rnacentral:rRNA from 1 species
CAGUCGCCGCGGUAAUACGGAGGGGGCUAGCGUUGUUCGGAAUUACUGGGCGUAAAGCGCACGUAGGCUGCUUUGUAAGUCAGAGGUGAAAGCCCGGGGCUCAACCCCGGAUGUGCCUUUGAGACUGCAGGGCUAGAACGUCGGAGAGGUGAGUGGAAUUCCGAGUGUAGAGGUGAAAUUCGUAGAUAUUCGGAAGAACACCAGUGGCGAAGGCGGCUCACUGGACGACUGUUGACGCUGAGGUGCGAAAGCGUGGGGAGCAAACAGGAUUAGAUACCCGCGUAGUCCCUGUCUCUUAUAA